rnacentral:rRNA from 1 species
UACGAAGGGGGCUAGCGUUGCUCGGAAUCACUGGGCGUAAAGGGUGCGUAGGCGGGUCUUUAAGUCAGGGGUGAAAUCCUGGAGCUCAACUCCAGAACUGCCUUUGAUACUGAAGAUCUUGAGUUCGGGAGAGGUGAGUGGAACUGCGAGUGUAGAGGUGAAAUCCGUAGAUAUUCGCAAGAACACCAGUGGCGAAGGCGGCUCACUGGCCCGAUACUGACGCUGAUGCACGAAAGCGUGGGGAGCAAACAGG